rnacentral:lncRNA from 1 species
CCCCAGGGAGCUGGAAAAACGCCCUGCUGUCACAAUGAGAACCAGAUCCCAUCGGCUGCCAGCUCCUCAGCCAGGACAAAGCAAGCGCGGGCACCUCCAGGGACUGCAGCAGGUCGGGUGAGGUUCCUGUGCUUGGCACCUGAUACCUUCAUCCCCCAUCCAGUGAACUCUGUGCCCCCUGGAGGGUUUUUAACCUUGACCCCUUGUGCUGAUAUUCUGAGGUGAUUUUUGGAGCCCAUUUCAGGCCUCCUGGGCCAGGAGCCAGCUGAAAGCUCCCUGCCUCAGUUUUAUGAGGAAGUGCAAACUCACUGCUUUUUAGCCUGGGCUGAUGAUGAAACCUGGUGGCUCCUCCUCUUGGCCUUAUUAGCAUGGGGAGAUCACCAGCAUAAAAUCCUGUCCAGUUCCUUCCUCAGCACUGGUGCUGUUUGCAUCCUCAUCCUCCCCUCCAGCUGUACCAAUGUCAAACAUCAGGGAGGCACCAGCCAUGCUGGAGAAUGGGAAGAAUGCUCCAGAGAAGAGGAGAUCCACAUGUUUGCCAGUGGCUUUUCAUCCUCUCGUUUUUGUGUUGAUUAUUAUCUCAGCCUUGGUUCCCAUCGUCUUCUGUUUGCUCCAUCAUCAGCAGGCACCAGGGUCAUGCUGGGCACAUGGAUCUUUAAACGAAUCUUCAGCACAAAACUCAGAAGUUUUGAUCUGGAACUGGAAAUUGGAGCACUGCAACGGGAUUGUGCAGGGCCAAGGGCAGUACCUCAUAAUCCAGCAGAGUGGCAAAUACUUCAUCUAUGCUCAGCUCUUCCGCAAGGAGACACUCAAAGAGCCUUUUACACUGAUGCUUUACAAAAACCAAACAAUCACCCUCAACAAUGCUGUGGGUCAUGUGAAUGGCACAAUAAACUUUGCAAGACCCUUUUUCCUGCAGAAGGGAGAUAAGCUGUACUGUAAGAAAAACGACAGGUCAGAUGACAGCCUGCUAGAGAAUCAGACUUAUUGGGGCCUGUUUAAAAUGUAGCAGGACUGCUCAGAGUCAGCUCCUCCCUUAUUUCCUCCAGGAAACCUUAGGUCGUGGAUGAAGAAUCUGGAAUGUCUCUUUGGGUGAAAUUCAGCUUGCUGGAAUACAUGCCAUAGGAAGCUUGUGUCCUGCAGUGACAGUGAACAGCAAACUUUGGUAAUGAUGAAUGGCUGCUGAUGGACACAAAGUAUGAGCAAAGGAUGGAGGAAAAAAACCUCAAUGCGUUGUGGGGUUGACUCUGAGAUCCUGGAAAUACAAAUCCCUAUGUUCAGCCUGUUCUGAGCUGGGGAGGAGCUCUACUCUGCAGCUGGGUGCAUUUCAGAGCUGGGUCCCUUCUAACAAGUGGUGCUGCAUAAAAACAAGAUAUUUUAUAUCCUUCCCGCACAACCUGCCAGUGAAGCAACUUGUCCACAGCAGAGGGACAAAAUGGUUCAGAAACAACACAAGAAAAGCUUCUCAGCCCCCUCCACGGCCUUGCCACCAGCAAGGGAAACACGCCAGGGAAACUUCAUCUCCACGGGUCGUUCAGAGCACAAGGAGCUUUCCAGUGAAGUUCAAGCAUUGCAAAUCCAAGGCAGCUCCAUGCUACGGUGCAGACAGCCCCAGCACAGGGAACCUGGGAUGCAGCCCAGGCAGAUGCCACAGGGGAUGGAUCACUGUUGGUUGAGCAGCACAAAGCCGAGGCUGAUGAGUGUCACAGAGGUUGUGGAGGAGAGCUAAUGGCAGAAGAGAGUGAGCACAGAGGGGAGACAAGAGGAUGGAGACUUGGAGAGCCGUUCCCAGAAUUUUCUUUUCUAUGCUGGGUAGUGGGUGUUGCAAACAGGGCAAGGUAGACGCGGCCCUGCCAUGAAAUGAGGAAGGGCUGAGCAUCCCCCCCUUCCCACAGACAUAGCUCUGACAUCCAGCACCACAGCAGGGAAGACGUGAGCCAGCAGGGAAGCAGAGCAUCCUUCACCUGCUCACUCCAGGCUCUGUCUGCUGUGCUUCCCAAAAUGAGCAU